rnacentral:sRNA from 12 species
ACAAUGUGGAAUGUGCAGAGGGAGACCCCCUCGCCGUCCUAAGAAGGGUGCUCAAUCUGCAAAGCAGGCGCCGAAGGGAAU